CGUGCGUGACAUGAUGGCCAACUUCCACUUCAACGACCUGGAGCUGUAAGUCCAUCCAGAUGAGGAUGUGACAUCUGGAGCUGCAGCAGCUGUUCUGCAACCUCGAGACAACACAUUCCAAAAUGAAGAGUCACACUCUAGAAACAGUGAAGCAGAGGAUGCCCUAGGCCUUCGGAACCAUCCCACCUCCAGGCCUGUCUCCUGAGAGGCCGUCGAUGGUCAGCCUCAGCCUCAGAACUGUUGCUCAGACUUUCAACUGAAUCCAUUUCUAAUGGUGAAAAAUAAAACCAGUCCCUCACACCAUCUGUGGAUCAUCAUCGGGAAAAGUAACUUUUUGAGACAGGGUCUCACUGUGUAGCCCGUAGUGGCCUGGAGCUUGCUCUGUAGUCCAGGCUGCCCUUGCUCUGUAGACCAGGCUGGCCUCAGAUCAGCCUGCCUCUGUCUCCCAAAUGUUAGGAUUAAAAGAGUGUACCACCACACCUAACCUGCAUGUCAUCGAAACAGCUUUAAAGUCUGGCCUGUCGCCCAGGUAGGGGCGAUAGUGUAUCCCGCUCCUCCCGCUCCUCCCUGGUCCCUCCUCAGUCUCACAAGAGGUGCCUGCCUAUGUGUCCUGUGCAGAAUUGUGGGUUCUUUGUGCAUUUCCAUGUAGUCAGGGAGAAAACUUGUUUGUUGCCUCUCAGAGAAAGUUCAAAAGAAAUGAAAGACUUUCAAAC
rnacentral:lncRNA from 1 species